UCCUCAGUAGCUCAGUGGUAGAGCGGUCGGCUGUUAACCGAUUGGUCGCAGGUUCGAAUCCUGCCUGGGGAG
rfam:Hapalosiphon sp. MRB220 contig_24, whole genome shotgun sequence.